rnacentral:rRNA from 1 species
UACGAAGGGGGCUAGCGUUGCUCGGAAUCACUGGGCGUAAAGCGCACGUAGGCGGAUUGUUAAGUCAGGGGUGAAAUCCUGGAGCUCAACUCCAGAACUGCCUUUGAUACUGGCGAUCUUGAGUCCGGGAGAGGUGAGUGGAACUGCGAGUGUAGAGGUGAAAUUCGUAGAUAUUCGCAAGAACACCAGUGGCGAAGGCGGCUCACUGGCCCGGUACUGACGCUGAGGUGCGAAAGCGUGGGAGCAACA